CAAUAGCGUAUAUUUAAGUGGCUGCAGUUAAAAAGCUCGUAGUUGGAUUUCGGGUGGGAAUGGCCGGUCCGCCGUUUCGGUGUGCACUUGCUACGCCCACCUUGCUGCCGGGGACGUGCUCUUGAGUUCACGCUCGGGACACGGAGUCGGCGAGGUUACUUUGAGUAAAUUAGAGUGUUCAAAGCAGGCCUACGCUCUGAAUACAUUAGCAUGGAAUAACACGAUAGGACUCUGGCCUAUCUUGUUGGUCUGUAGGACCGGAGUAAUGAUUAAGAGGGACAGUCGGGGGCAUUCGUAUUUCAUUGUCAGAGGUGAAAUUCUUGGAUUUAUGAAAGACGAACUACUGCGAAAGCAUUUGCCAAGGAUGUUUUCAUUAA
rnacentral:rRNA from 1 species